AUUCAGCUGACGAGUUCCAAAUAGGGUGAAACUCACGUCCUGAAU
rnacentral:hammerhead_ribozyme from 1 species